AUCUAGCUGACGAGUCCUAAAUGGGAUGAAACGCAUAUCCUGGAU
rnacentral:hammerhead_ribozyme from 1 species